GGUGGCUCAGUGGUAGAGCACUUGCCUCACAUGCAUGAGGCCCUGGGUUUGAUUCUCAGCACCA
rnacentral:tRNA from 1 species